AACGCACCUUGCACUCUCUAGUUCUCUGGAGAGUAUGCCCGGUUGAGUGUUUUGAAUUCCUCAAGUCCUUGGGUUUCCUAGCGGAGCCUCUCGGAACCUUGGAGCUGAGCGUCCUGCUGGCGAAAGCCGGCUCGCUCGAAAUGCAUCGUGGUCUGACUUUGGCCAGUGACUGCGGCGUUGUAGGUUAAUCCACUCGUCCUUUCCACUGUCUGAACCUGGUUGCUCAGUCCAUCAAUCGUUGCCCUCGGGCGACAGCAUACCCUUCACCUUAACACCUCAACUCGAGUAGGACUACCCGCUGAACUUAA
rnacentral:misc_RNA from 1 species